UACGUAGGGUGCAAGCGUUAAUCGGAAUUACUGGGCGUAAAGCGUGCGCAGGCGGUUAUGCAAGACAGAUGUGAAAUCCCCGGGCUCAACCUGGGAACUGCAUUUGUGACUGCAUAGCUGGAGUGCGGCAGAGGGGGAUGGAAUUCCGCGUGUAGCAGUGAAAUGCGUAGAUAUGCGGAGGAACACCGAUGGCGAAGGCAAUCCCCCUGGGCCUGCACUGACGCUCAUGCACGAAAGCGUGGGGAGCAAACAGG
rnacentral:rRNA from 1 species